rnacentral:rRNA from 1 species
AGUGAACGCUGGCGGUAGGCCUAACACAUGCAAGUCGAACGGCAGCACAGUAAGAGCUUGCUCUUACGGGUGGCGAGUGGCGGACGGGUGAGGAAUACAUCGGAAUCUACUUUUUCGUGGGGGAUAGCGUAGGGAAACUUACGCUAAUACCGCAUACGACCUACGGGUGAAAGCAGGGGAUCUUCGGACCUUGCGCGAUUGAAUGAGCCGAUGUCGGAUUAGCUAGUUGGCGGGGUAAAGGCCCACCAAGGCGACGAUCCGUAGCUGGUCUGAGAGGAUGAUCAGCCACACUGGAACUGAGACACGGUCCAGACUCCUACGGGAGGCAGCAGUGGGGAAUAUUGGACAAUGGGCGCAAGCCUGAUCCAGCCAUACCGCGUGGGUGAAGAAGGCCUUCGGGUUGUAAAGCCCUUUUGUUGGGAAAGAAAAGCAGCAGGUUAAUACCCUGCUGUUCUGACGGUACCCAAAGAAUAAGCACCGGCUAACUUCGUG